CCCCACCGCUUCCCCUUCGCUGUCCUACUAGAUAUAAGUCGAGCGCGGUAAGCCGGCGGACUCCUUCGGGAGGAAACCGGUGGAACGAGCGGCGGACGGGUGAGUAACACGUGGGCAACCUGCCGGACUGAUGGGAAUAACCCCGGGAAACCGGGGCUAAUGCCCAAUACGCCCUGACCUCGCCUGAGGUCAGCGGCAAAGCAGGGAUCUUCGGAUCCUUGCACAGUCCGAUGGGCCCGCGGCGCAUUAGCUAGUUGGAGAGGUAAGGGCUCCCCAAGGCGACGAUGCGUAGCCGACCUGAGAGGGUGAUCGGCCACACUGGGACUGAGACACGGCCCAGACUCCUACGGGAGGCAGCAGUAGGGAAUCAUCCGCAAUGGGCGAAAGCCUGACGGUGCAACGCCGCGUGAGUGAUGAAGGUUUUCGGAUCGUAAAGCUCUGUUGACAGGGAAGAACCCACGCCAGUCGAACAGGCUGGCGUGCUGACGGUACCUGUCCAGAAAGCCCCGGCUAACUACGUGCCAGCAGCCGCGGUAAUACGUAGGGGGCAAGCGUUGUCCGGAAUUAUUGGGCGUAAAGGGCACGCAGGCGGUUUCGUCAGUCCGAUGUGACAGGCCACGGCUCAACCGUGGAAGGCCAUUGGAAACUGCGAAACUUGAGGACAGAAGAGGAGAGUGGAAUUCCACGUGUAGCGGUGAAAUGCGUAGAUAUGUGGAGGAACACCAGUGGCGAAGGCGACUCUCUGGUCUGUACCUGACGCUGAGGUGCGAAAGCAUGGGGAGCAAACAGGAUUAGAUACCCUGGUAGUCCAUGCCGUAAACGCUGAGUGCUAGGUGUUAGGGGUUUCGAUACCCGUAGUGCCGAAGCUAACGCAUUAAGCACUCCGCCUGGGGAGUACGACCGCAAGGUUGAAACUCAAAGGAAUUGACGGGGGCCCGCACAAGCGGUGGAGCAUGUGGUUUAAUUCGACGCAACGCGAAGAACCUUAACAAAUCUUGGACAUCUUCCGCCUACGCUCGAGAGAGGCGGUUCCCCUUCGGGGGACGGAAUGAACAGUGGUGCAUGAUGUCGUCAACUCGUGUGUCGUGAGAGUUGGGUUAAGUCCGCAACGAACGCCAACUCCCUACAUCUAACUUGCCAGACAUUCAGUGGGCACUUCUAAGGUGGACUUGCCGGUACAAACUGGAGGACAGUGUGGGGGAU
rnacentral:rRNA from 1 species